GAUGAAGAACGCAGCGAAAUGCGAUAAGUAAUGUGAAUUGCAGAAUUCAGUGAAUCAUCGAAUGUUUGAACGCGCAUUGCGUCCGCCAGUAUUCUGGCGGGCAUGCCUGUUCGAGCGUCAUUACAACCCUCAGGCCCCCGGGCCUGGCGUUGGGGAUCGGCGGAAGCCCCCUGCGGGCACAACGCCGUCCCCCAAAUACAGUGGCGGUCCCGCCGCAGCUUCCAUUGCGUAGUAGCUAACACCUCGCAACUGGAGAGCGGCGCGGCCACGCCGUAAAACACCCAACUUCUGAAUGUUGACCUCGAAUCAGGUAGGAAUACCCGCUGAACUUAAGCAUAUCAAUAAGCGGAGGA
rnacentral:misc_RNA from 1 species